rnacentral:rRNA from 1 species
AGGGGGUAAAUUUAAUAAUUGAUAAAUAUGAAAAAAAUUUUUAAUAUAAUAUAUUUAAUGGGGGUUAAAGUAUUUUUAUAGAAAAAAUUUAAAAAUUUAUAGUGAAAUAGUAUUGUAAAAGAAAAUUGAAAAUAUUGAAAUAAAAAUUUAUUUAAAAGUAAAUUUUAUUUAUUGUAUCUUGUGUAUCAGAGUUUUUUAAUUAAAAGAAAUUAGUUAAAUUUAUUUCGAAAUUUAAAGAGUUAAUUAAUUAAAAAAGUUAAUGUUGCAUAAUUAUUUUUAAUAAUUAAUUAGAAAUGAAAAGUUAAUCGUUUUGAAUGAUA